GAAAGCACUUACCUAGCAUUCCACGCUGUUCAAAGCCUAGCCUGUUUUUGAUCGUCUCUCCGCUGCCUCCUCCGUUUCAUAACUCCGCGCUUAGGGUUUACGUGGCUGCUCCUCCUCCUCGCCUUUUUGAUCUUCUCCGUCUUCACUUUCUUCUUCCGCAGCCUUCCAGUCUUGCAUCAUGCUCUUCCUGCCUUCUUCAUCAAUCCGGGAGAGAAGCCUUGGGCAGAGCGGGCAAGCACCUUUUCCGGCCAUGGCAUAUCUAAACAUGGGCGAGGCGCACCGCCGCAUCACGGACUACCUUUUUCGGUUUUGUGAUGUCGUCUCGUCCUAGAAUGCCACUACCCUCUCCGCCAUCUCCUCCAACUUCGCGUCCCUCCAGGCUCCUGCAAACGCCCUCGAUGUCUUCUAGGAUUCAAAUCAGUUGGUGAACCAGGCGGAGAGGUACGCCUAGUUUGUAGAAAUUCUCUCCCCCCUUCUCCGCUGUCUCCAAAGUUACCGACUUGGCCAAUACUUCGACUCAUAUGUUGCCUUUGAGAAGGCUGCAAAUGCUUUCUUACAGGAAUUUCGAAACUGGGAGACUGCGUGGGCUAUGGAAGCUGUGUAUAUUUUGGCUCUUGAAAUUCAGUUGCUUGCGGAGAAGUAUUUCAGGGCUUAGCCGAAUGCAUGUGAACCAUCCUGCUUACCAAGAUAUCAGCCCAACAAAGAAAUCGAUGCAAAGAGUGAUGCAAAACUAAUCAUAUUUGUUAAUUUCAAAAUCGAGUUUGACUCUGCUACUCCUUUGUAUUCCUUACAUGACUAGUUUUGCUUAAGUUCUAAAAGUUCUAUUUGGUACAGGGAUGUCUCUUUCUCCUUUUCACUUCAACCACUGAAAUGUAUUUUCCUUUCACUGAUUGGAUUAAUGAAAAUCCUUAUCUCAA